rnacentral:rRNA from 1 species
UACGUAGGGGGCAAGCGUUAUCCGGAUUUACUGGGUGUAAAGGGAGCGCAGACGGAUAUGCAAGUCUGAAGUGAAACCCCACGGCUCAACUGUGGGCUUGCUUUGGAAACUGUAAAUCUAGAGUACUGGAGAGGUAAGCGGAAUUCCUGGUGUAGCGGUGAAAUGCGUAGAUAUCAGGAGGAACACCGGAGGCGAAGGCGGCUUACUGGACAGAUACUGACGUUGAGGCUCGAAGGCGUGGGGAG